rnacentral:rRNA from 1 species
CCAAGUUUUUAAGGGCGCACGGUGGAUGCCUUGGCACCAGGAACCGAUGAAGGACGUGGGAGGCCACGAUAGUCCCCGGGGAGUCGUCAACCAGGCUUUGAUCCGGGGGUUUCCGAAUGGGGAAACCCGGCAGUCGUCAUGGGCUGUCACCCGCUGCUGAACACAUAGGCAGUGUGGAGGGAACGCGGGGAAGUGAAACAUCUCAGUACCCGCAGGAAGAGAAAACAACCGUGAUUCCGGGAGUAGUGGCGAGCGAAACUGGAUGAGGCCAAACCGUAUGCGUGUGAAGGUCCGGCGUAGAGGGUAAGACCCCCGUAGUCGAAACGUCAGCGGCUCGUUUGAGAGACACCCAAGUAGCACGGGGCCCGAGAAAUCCCGUGUGAAUCUGGCGGGACCACCCGCUAAGCCUAAAUAUUCCCUGGUGACCGAUAGCGGAUAGUACCGUGAGGGAAUGGUGAAAAGUACCCCGGGAGGGGAGUGAAAUAGUACCUGAAACCGUGUGCCUACAAGCCGUGGGAGCGUCGGAGUGGAGCUUGCUUCACUCUCGUGACUGCGUGCCUUUUGAAGAAUGAGCCUGCGAGUUUGCGGUGUGUUGCGAGGUUAACCCGUGUGGGGAAGCCGUAGCGAAAGCGAGUCCGAAUAGGGCGUUUUUAGUAGCACGCUCAAGACCCGAAGCGGAGUGAUCUAGCCAUGGGCAGGUUGAAGCGGAGGUAAGACUUCGUGGAGGACCGAACCCACCAGGGUUGAAAACCUGGGGGAUGACCUGUGGUUAGGGGUGAAAGGCCAAUCAAACUCCGUGAUAGCUGGUUCUCCCCGAAAUGCAUUUAGGUGCAGCGUCGUGUGUUUCUUGCCGGAGGUAGAGCACUGGAUAGGCGAUGGGCCCUACCGGGUUACUGACCUUAGCCAAACUCCGAAUGCCGGUAAGUGAGAGCGCGGCAGUGAGACUGUGGGGGAUAAGCUCCAUGGUCGAGAGGGAAACAGCCCAGAGCAUCGACUAAGGCCCCUAAGCGUACGCUAAGUGGGAAAGGAUGUGGAGUCGCAGAGACAACCAGGAGGUUGGCUUAGAAGCAGCCACCCUUGAAAGAGUGCGUAAUAGCUCACUGGUCGAAGGUAGUCGUGGACGGUUGACGAGUGAGAAUGCAGGCAUGAGUAGCGAUACAAACGUGAGAAACGUUUGCGCCGAUUGACUAAGGGUUCCUGGGUCAAGCUGAUCUGCCCAGGGUAAGUCGGGACCUAAGGCGAGGCCGACAGGCGUAGUCGAUGGAUAACCGGUUGAUAUUCCGGUACCCGCUGUGAAGCGUCAAACAUCGAAUCCAGUGAUGCUAAGGCCGUGAAGCCGCCCCGGAGCCUUCGGGCAAAGGGGAGUGGUGGAGCCGCUGAUCCAAGUUGGUAGUAGGUGAGUGAUGGGGUGACGCAGGAAGGUAGUCCAUCCCGGGCGGUGGUUGUCCCGGGGUAAGGGUGUAGGACGUCAGGUAGGUAAAUCCGCCUGGCAAUAGUCUGAGACCUGAUGCCGAGCCGAUUGUGGUGAAGUGGAUGAUCCUAUGCUGUCGAGAAAAGCCUCUAGCGAGUUUCAUGGCGGCCCGUACCCUAAACGGGGGGCCACACCUGGUGAUGAGCUUUGCGCUCUGAGCUGGGGGUGGCCGCAGAGACCAGCGAGAAGCGACUGUUUACUAAAAACACAGGUCCGUGCGAAGCCGUAAGGCGAUGUAUACGGACUGACGCCUGCCCGGUGCUGGAACGUUAAGGGGACCGGUUAGCUCACUUUCGGGUGGGCGAAGCUGAGAACUUAAGCGCCAGUAAACGGCGGUGGUAACUAUAACCAUCCUAAGGUAGCGAAAUUCCUUGUCGGGUAAGUUCCGACCUGCACGAAUGGCGUAACGACUUCUCGACUGUCUCAACCAUAGGCCCGGUGAAAUUGCACUACGAGUAAAGAUGCUCGUUUCGCGCAGCAGGACGGAAAGACCCCGGGACCUUUACUACAGUUUGAUAUUGGUGUUCGGUUCGGCUUGUGUAGGAUAGCUGGGAGACUUUGAAGCAGGCACGCCAGUGUUUGUGGAGUCGUCGUUGAAAUACCAGUCUGGUCGUGCUGGAUGUCUAACCUGGGUCCGUGAUCCGGAUCAGGGACAGUGUCUGAUGGGUAGUUUAACUGGGGCGGUUGCCUCCUAAAGGGUAACGGAGGCGCCCAAAGGUUCCCUCAGCCUGGUUGGCAAUCAGGUGUUGAGUGUAAGUGCACAAGGGAGCUUGACUGUGAGACCGACGGGUCGAGCAGGGACGAAAGUCGGGACUAGUGAUCCGGCGGUGGCUUGUGGAAGCGCCGUCGCUCAACGGAUAAAAGGUACCCCGGGGAUAACAGGCUGAUCUUCCCCAAGAGUCCAUAUCGACGGGAUGGUUUGGCACCUCGAUGUCGGCUCGUCGCAUCCUGGGGCUGGAGUCGGUCCCAAGGGUUGGGCUGUUCGCCCAUUAAAGCGGUACGCGAGCUGGGUUUAGAACGUCGUGAGACAGUUCGGUCCCUAUCCGCUGUGCGCGUAGGAGUCUUGAGAAGGGCUGUCCCUAGUACGAGAGGACCGGGACGGACGAACCUCUGGUGUGCCAGUUGUUCUGCCAAGGGCAUGGCUGGUUGGCUACGUUCGGGAGGGAUAACCGCUGAAAGCAUCUAAGCGGGAAGCCUGCUUCGAGAUGAGGACUCCCACCCACUUGAUGGGGUAAGGCUCCCAGUAGACGACUGGGUUGAUAGGCCGGAUCUGGAAGCACAGUAAUGUGUGGAGGUGACCGGUACUAAUAGGCCGAGGGCUUGUCC